rnacentral:lncRNA from 1 species
UUAUUUCCGCUGUUUGUAAGGUAGUUUGCUUCUUUCAGAGGUUUGUUAAAAAAUUUAUAAAAAUAUUUUAGGGUUUGUGAAUCCUCCCACAUCUGUACUUCUUUAGACUAUUCCUAGGUUUUCCAAGAUAACCAAAAAACAGUUUCCACUUUUACUUGUGUUUAAAAGCUUUUCGCUCUAUUUUACCCCUCUAGGGUUUCCCACAAGUUCACCGUCCUACUCAUCUCCUUUCUCUCAGAUCUUAUUUCCCCGCUUUUCCCUUGUUAAAGCUUUCAAUCUCCCACUCCACUUUCACCUAAACCCUAAACCCUAAACCCUAAAACUCCAGACUGGCUAUGCAACCCGUGACUGCUGAAUGCCAAACACAGGACACCGCGGAAUUACUGCGAAACUUCCCACGCACGGACAAAACAAAUGACGAAUUAUUCGCGUGGCCCCCACUUCAAUUACCUAAGCCUCCCGUGCACCAAAACUAUGGGCAAAACUGUAGGCCCCGCCGCAAAAUCAAAACUGCCUCGCUGCUUCCUCCGAAGAAACGACGAAAUUGCGGACCCCGCCAAUUUAACGUCUUGCAGGAUCCUUCCUCCUCCUACAUUUGGCCACUCCUUCCCACUUCGCUUAUAAAAGAAACCAUUCGAUGCAUCAAAGGGACACGACAUGAGACGAAAAAAAAAAGGGAACAUUAGAUAACACACCCACCUGAGAUAGAGAAAGAAGAAGCGCAUUAAGGAAGAUCCAUUCGUCGCCAAGAAAAAAAGAGAAUUACAUAGGAGAGCAUCCUACCUCCACAAAUAUCCUCUUAAUGGCCUUUCUUUUCCUUCCUUUUUUGUAAAUAUUUCCUACCGCAACUAUACCCUGAAAUAAGGAGUCUGUAUAAAAGGAGUCUUUCUUUUUCCCUCGGGCAGUCCCGGAAGGAAAACCUUCUAACUUUGUGAUGUAAGUUUUAUCUUUUGUUAUAUUGUAUUUCUCGAACUCUUGUAUCCAUGGCAUUUUCUUUGCUCCAUGAAACCCUUUUCUUGAACUCUUCAUGAAAUUUCCUGAUAUCUUUAUGAUAAAUAUUUCAUCCUGAGCAAGUGUGAAGCAUAUACGCUUGGCAGAUUUGAUAAAAGAAAUGCUCUGUAAAUUUCGCCAUUGAUAGCCAGAGAGGGCUUUGCGGCGUAGGAGCGGGGUUCUCUAAAAACUGUACGCCAUGAGGGUCUUGUGCACCGACACUAUGUCUCAAGUGAUAUUACCAUAAAAGACAUAUGAUUUCAUCCUAAGUCCAGGUUUAGGUUACCUGCAUCAUAGAUAAAGAGUUUUAGAAAUAUAAAAACAACCGAAAAAAUUUUAUCGUGAUUCCUAGAAGGGAGUACCAAACGGGACUUACACCAAAAAAUUUGGAAAAAUCCAUAUUUCAGUGUGUAGUUGCGGUAGAAAAUAUUUACAGAAAAGGAAGGAAAAGAAAAGCCAUUAAGAGGAUAUUUGUGGAGGUAGGAUGCUCUCCUAUGUAAUUCUCUCUUUUUUUUGGCGACGAAUGGAUCUUCCUUAAUGCGCUUCUUCUUUCUCUAUCUCAGGUGGGUGUGUUAUCUAAUGUUUCUUUUUUUCUUUCAUCUCAUGUCGUGUCCCUUUGAUAUGUCGAAUGGUUUCUUUUAUAGGCGAAGUGGGAAGGAGUGGCCAAAUGCAGGAGGAGGAAGGAUCCUGCAAGACGUUAAAUUGGUGGGGUCCGCAAUUUCGUCGUUUCUUCGGAGGAAGCAGCGAGGCGGUUUUGAUUUUGCGGCGGGGCCUACAGUUUUGCCCAUGGUUUUGGUGCAUGGGAGGCUUAGGUAAUUGAAGUGGGGGCCACGCGAAUAAUCCGUCAUUUGUUUUGUUCGUGCGUGGGAAGCUUUGCAGUAAUUCCGCGGUGUCCUGUGUUUGGCAUUCAGCAGUCACGGGUUACCAUUGUCAGAUGUUUCUUGAAUACCUUAGAUUUUGGAUGGUAGUGGACCUCUUCUGAUGUAGAGAACGCCGGUUUUUGAUGAUGGUGGAGUUGGACAAGAGGGUGUUCAAUCAUGAUGGAGUUGGAUCAGAAGGAAAGGGUCGUUGCCGGAGGUAUAGUAAUCUAUAAAGUCGGCAAAUAUUAUACUUGGAACGACGACUUCUGUGUAGGAAGCAUCUCGGCACCGACUUUAAUAAGUAUCUUAUCUCCAAAAACAGGGAUCAUGUGGCCAAUGAGAGGCCACAAAAACCCCGCGAAUCGAAAACGCGGGAAUCGUCGCCCCCACCCCCUCUCUCUCUCUCCCUCUCUCUCUCUCUCUCAUGGCGACUCUUCUCCUCUCUCCGCCCACCACCACCGCGCUCUUCUCCCCCAAAACCCUAACCCUAGCGACCAGAACCGCCCCCGCCCCUCCAUCUCGAUCCAUUCGGGUCAACGCCGCAGCGAGCUCCGCCGAGCCGGAGAAGGCGGCGGCGGUGUCGCCCGCCCAGGGAGGCGGCGAUGGUGACGCUGCGGCGGCGGAGGCGCCGCCUCCUUCCUCCGGCUCCGCCGUCUUGCGGCCGAAGAAGCCGGUGUACUCUAGUGAGUUCUCUUUCACGCUCUACAAGUGUUUGAUGUAAUGUCGCAGUGGGGAUUACAAUUAUGGUAGAAAUGUAUGGAGCUUCGAACCCCCUUCACUAUAAGCCAUUCCAAAAUAGACCCUCAAUUAUAUAUAUUUUUAUUUUUUUAUUCUUUGGUUCACACCUCUUUAAUUUUGAAUCCUUUUGAUUCAAGUAGUUUACGCCAUUCGAGCCACAAAUAUAUGACUAUUAGCUAUCAGGUGUCGCAGUCGACAUUUUUAUUAGUGAAAAAAAUUAUAAAAUCAUUAAAUAUAACAAAAAUUUUCAACAAAUUCCCCAAUUACCUGAUGUGGAUCAUCUAAUUCAAACCAAUUGAAAGUUGACCUGGAUUUUGAUUUUAUCCGCAAAGUUUAUUUGAAACAAUUUAGUUCCUGAAGUUUGAUUCCAAUCUCGAUUUCAUAUAUAGAGUUUGAAUAUUGUUAAUUUAGUUCGUAAAGCUUGACCCUGAAUUUGAUUUUGUCAUAGAAGUUUUGUUUUUAACAAUAAAGGUGUAAAAUUUUGACCCGGAUAUCAAUUUUAGUUCGGAGUUUCAACUGCGACAAUUUGGUCCAUGAAGUUUGCCCCUGAUCGUGAUUUUGUUCUCGGAGUUUCCAUAUUGACAAUUUAGUCGAUAAAUAUUGAUAACAAUUUCAACUUCAUCCUUGAUUGUUUUUUAAUUUAUUUUAACAAUGCAAAGUGUGACAAAUUCCUAUUAAGGCUUAAGCAAUGUCUACUAUGGGUGUUUAUUAUUUUGCCUUGUGAUUAUUCAGUUACAUGAAAUCAUUUCAAGUUUUAUUACUUUUUUUUCCCUUCCGAAUGGGUAAAAGUAGAAAAAAGUUGCCCCGAAGUGCUUGCGUAAUGCCUUUUAUUUUAUUUAUUGUGGCCUAAACUUUUUAUAGUGUUAAAUUAUAUGAAACAGUUGUUUUUCUUCAAAAGCUUAAGCUAUCAGAGAAUAAUGUGUAUACAUUUCAUAUUCAACACUCUCCCUCACAUCUAGCCUCGAGGCAGAAAACUAAAUAAUGUUAGGAGUCUGAUGGAACUCGACCUCAAGACCUUAUGCGCUAAUACCAUGUUAAAUUAUAUGAAACAACCGUUUUUCUCCAAAAGCUUAAGCUACCGGAGAAUGAUGUUUUAUAUACUUUAUAUUCAACAUCUAGAAAUAAGCAUUUCCAAAAUUUCCUGCUUUCCAGUGAAGAAAGGGCAGAUUGUACGUGUGGACAAAGAGAAGUACCUAAACAGCAUCAAUGUGAGCUUGCUCUCCCUCAAUUUGCGUUUAAAUGAGUGUUGUUUAGGAUUCUUCAUGUUAGCUUUUCUUUGUUCAUGUGAUAUUUUAUAAGAUAUAUUGAGCAUGUUCCUUAGAAUGUAUAUUGUGGUGUAAAUUUUGUGCACAUAUUCUAAAUUUGUCUUCUGUCAUUUCAGUAUCUAUCCGUCGGCCAUCCACCUUUUUAUAAAGGGUUGGACUACAUAUAUGAAGACCGUGGCGAGGUAAUGACAAAUCUUUUGUACUUGAUUGCUUUCACAUACUUUUAAUCGUACAUCAGGUUGAAAUUACAUUACGUAGUACAUAUUUCUCUCUUUUAAGCCAGCUCUUUGCUAUCUUUUCUCUAGAAGAUUAAUUUUCACACCUCUACUUGCUGCUGUUUUUGCUGCUUGCUGAAUUGUUUGUUAUAUACUUCUAGGUUUUGGACAUACGAAUUUUCGAGACUGGGGAAUAUGCUCUUGUAAGUCAAUUCCUCUUAAUGUUUUGAAUUGAUUAUUUAUGUUGUAAUCUUAUACCAGCACUUUGUGUAUUUUGUAAAAAAAAAAAAAAAUUAGGUUUUUGUUGUUCCAGCUCUGGUUAUCAGAAUGUAAGAGUUACAUAAAUAAGCUGCAUAGGGAACAUCUCUUACUACAUUUAUUAGGAGUUAAUUAACUGCCGGAAAAGGUAAAAUGUUGAUAACCUUUUUCACUAAAUUUAUUGAGCAUGGUUCAAUUUUACUUGCAAGCGGAAAAUAAAAUCAGUAUAAUCAGUUUUUAUUUCUAAAAUCAAACCGAAAACGGAAUUCCAAAGUCUUUUCAUGUUAAAAACUGAAUCGAACCAAACUACUCAAUUAAACCCAAUUAACCAAAAUUGUUUUGAGUCUGGCAAUCUGGUAAACCAAAGUAAUAACACAACCCUCCCUGGUGGCAGUGGUGCAACUAAUUAGGUCAACUAGUAAACUUCGCUCCUAAUAGCUGGUUUAACUCUGUUAGGGAAGAGAAUUUAGAUACCUUUUCAUUUCAGAUUUUACCCUUUAUUAACAAAAAAUUAAAUCCUUUUGGUUUUUUAUAUUACAGAUUGCUUGGGUUGGAAUUCCAACUCCCCCCGCAUGGCUUCCAACCGAUAUGCUUAUUAAGGUAAGAUUACCUGACGAGGAAUUUUACGAACAGUUAUUGUAUUAUAUCGAACUUGAGUUGUCUUGCAUGUCAAGUUGACUUACAGAGAUCUAAUCUUUUCCACAGAUUGUGAGAGGUAAGAAACUAUAUCAUAGAAAUAUAAUGAUUGCUACAAAUCAACUCUUCUUCUUUAUACUCCGAGAAGCUGGUUUUACGAAAAUAUUGCUCUAAGUUUUUUCCCAUCCAAUUUCGUGACUACAAAUCUACAAGUUCCAUUAUUUAGGAUCUCUUCCUGUUAAUUUGUGCAUGUUCCUAUGUAAAUAUGCAUUGUCGCCUAUUCUCAUUUGCGAUUUGUAGCUGAAUAACCAUUGCUUGUUAGAGCAGAGAGAAAUUUUUCCAAAAUCCAUAUUACUUGUGCAAACUAUUAUAAGAAGUUAACAAACUUUAAAUCGAAUCUCAAAUUUUUAUUCCCUUAGAGUAAGAACAGGGAGAAACUUAUUUUUCUGUUUUCACGAAUCGCUCGUCUAACUAUUUUUCUUAUCAUUUCGCAGUCGGAAAAGCUUGACUAUGAAAGAAUUUGAUCUUGGAAGUACACUUGCGGGUGAUUCUGCAUUUUUCUGUCUCAUUUUUUCGCUUGGUCGGGGAUGCUCCAGAGUAAAUAUUUCACUUCGAAUCAUAAUGCAAUUUUUGCAUAUAGCUCUAUUUGUUCAUAAAUCAGAUAUAUUCCUUAAAAUAAAAUUUGCUUUGAAUCUGAUCUAAUUCGGUUAGUACCAUCUCUACUCAAUCAAUAUCUUCAUUGUAUCAGUGCUUAAUAUAGAUGUAUAGUUUGAUAUGCUCAUUAUUAUAUUACACAUAUAUAUUGUGUGUCUAGCUUUAAACAAUGUUAAGUCUUAGUUCAUGUUUGACAUAUGUUAUCGACAAAUUGUAAACAAUUAAAAAUGCUCAUGGUUAUGUAAAUGAUUCUUACAAUGCCGAUAAAAUUUCCAUAAAAGCACUAUUAACGUUGUGUCCUAUUAUGUCCCCUUUACUGGUGUUGCACGAAUUUUUGAGGCGAUCCGACGGCUUAAAAAAUCACAAGCACAGAUGCUCUCGCGCUUUUAAAAGCACAGGAGUUCAACUCCCUUUCUCUUUCUAUAUAUAUAUAUAUAUAUAUAUAUAUAUAGUGAGAGAGAGAAUUGGGCUUGAAUACUUUUAAUAGCACCAAGUCAUUGGUGCUUUUAGGUUUUUAGCCUUUGGAUUAAGAUUUCUGGAGUUAGAAUGAUAGUAGUCCUCCUAGGGUUUAGUGGGUGGUUGGUGAAAUAGCAUAAUCUAAGGGUGAAAUUAGUCAAGGGAUAGAUCUAAUGGUGGAAAAUUUGAUUGCACCAAAUGUUUGGUGCUAUUAGAAGUAUCCAAACAAGAGAGAGAGAAGAAAAGUCCAGCCCAGCCGGAGACUAUAUAUAUAUAUAGAGAGAGAGAGAGAGAGUCCAACUUGUGUGCUUUCAGAAGCACGGCGUCCUCUAUGCUAUCGAGUCGUUUUCGAUGCUAGGACAUCUGAAUCAACGAUUGGCUUUAUUAGACUUGAUCUAGAGUAUAAAAAACAUCUGUAAAAUAAUUUCAUUAUUUUCGAUAUCAUUUACUCAAAGGGGCUCAAAAUCAACAAUUUUAUUCGUCGUGAUGAGCCGUUUGCAAGGUGAAUCGGUGUAGAAAUAUCAAAAUCACAUGAAAUUUUGAUAGAAAGUUUUUUAUAAUAUAUAAAACAAAUCAAUAGCUUUGAUCUAAAAAUUGUGUCAUAUAUCACUUCAAAAUUUGAAUGCAUUACUUAUCUUUACAAAUUUAGUUAAUACACUUCACACAAUUUUCGAACUUAUAAAUUAUUAAAGUGAUUAACUUAAAUUUUGAAGUCAAAGGGUCAUUGACUGAUUCAAAUCAAAUAAAUUGAAAUAUUGGAUAGUAAUAUCAAAAUUUUGAAAACAAUUAAGUAAUCAACUCAAAAUGGUUCGUAGCUCAAGUAAGUUCUGUAUAUUUUUAGCUCUUAAUAAUUUAGUUGGUAAAAUUUCCUAGAAAGAAAAAGAAAACCACUUUAUUCUUAGGGGUUACUUUGUUGCAUGUAUGUGCAGCUGUAUUGCAAUUUUAACUACAUGUAAAUUCAAAUAUGAUGUUUUCUUUGGUACACUUCAAUCCAACCGUUGCAGCUGAAACUACAGAAGCAGGCUCAACUAUAGCAGUUGAAACUACGCCUAAAUUGACCGUAGUUUCAACUGUAAUAGUUAGAGAAGGUAAUUUUAAAUAAGACGUAAACUUAUCGUACCCACGACCUUUUAAAUGGGAAAAAAAAACAUUCCUUGUACCUUAGGCAUAGCCUCACUACCUUAUUUACAAGGUGAUAAAAUUUGUGAAUACAAUGUCCAACUACAUACAACCCAACAAAUUGUUUGUAUUUGCAAUAUUUUCUACUAUGUACAACCAAACAAGGUACAUAAAAUAUCUGUAACUACUGCAUUUUUAACUCCAUACUUUUUUCACUGCACUGCAUUAAAAUUACAUACCAACAUAUGACCCCUUAGAGAUUGGCCCUGGUAGCUAUAUCCGACGAGGAAGCUGAUAUUGCAAUUUUUGAUUUAAUUGUCACAAACUUAAACUACAAAAUCUGUCAGAAUUAAAACUCGAGGAUGGAAUUGAAAUCGGCAUCGAAUUUCCAGGUCUUAAUGUGCAAAAACCAUCUCAUAAAAACUUGGUAAAAUUUGGUGUAUUUGCUGAUUAUUACUAGUCAACUAUACAUAUAAGUAAGGACCACAAUGUGUUGUAUCUAUAGCCAUUAUCAUAUACACUAUACAUAUGCACAAAUAGCUCUCACUUCAGAGAGAGAGAGAGAGAGAAAGAGAGAGAGAGAAGUUGAUGAAUCUAUCUCUAGAGGGAGUGAAUAUGCUUGACCUUCUGAAUCGCCUGUUGUACUUUCGAUAACGGCUCAUCAUACAACAUCACAGGAUCAUCGAACUGGGGCCCCAAACUAGGUUCUCCGAGAAAAGCGCGAAAUGUGUCGGCCACGGAGUUAGAGAGGGAUUGGAGGUUGUAUCCGCCUUCGAGGAAGAAAACACACCGACCCGCGCACAGCUCCUUCGCGAGCUCUUUGAUCUUCGAAGCGAGCAUGUAGUACGUUCCCGUUGUGAAUUGGAGACCGGCUAGCGGGUCUAGCACAUGAGCAUCAUAUCUGAAGAGAGAGAGAGAGAGAGAGAGAGAGAGAGAGAGAUAGAACUAACUAGCUAAGAUAAGGGUAUUACAGAAAGAAAGUGCAGCAGUAAGCUGUACUUAAGAAAUGCAGAUGUACAGGGGUAUAUAUUUGUAAAUUGACGAUUUUGCAAGGUUGGAUCUGUAAAAGAUCCGGUAUAUAUGUAAAUUGAUGAUUUUGCAAGGUUGUAUCUGUAAAAGCUCCUAACAGAGAAAAUGCAUUAAAUUUGACAUCAAUAUAUGCUAAGAACAGCAGAAAUUGCAAAACUGAUACAUUAGCAUGAAAUCAACAGCAUGAAUUAACUUUCAAGGGGAAGUUCCAACUCACCCCGCUGAAACGAGAAUAAUGUCAGGCUUGAACCUCUGCGCGCACGGCACAAUAACCUCAUCAAACACGGUUCGCAUAGAACUAUCGCCUGAGCCUCCGGGUAAGGGCAGGUUGAGUGUCGUUCCUUCGCCUUUCCCUUGGCCGACUUGUUCCAUCUUUCCUGUGCCAGGGUAGCUCCCAUGCUGCAUCAGUUCCCAGAAAAAAAAAAAAAAAAAAAAAAAAAACAACAACAACAACAACAACAACAACAACAACAAUUGGUCAUUCAUGUAGAAGCUCAAAAUUCGUAUAUAUUCCGAUAAUGUUAAUUUUCGGAAAGCUCGUAAGUACAUUUCGAAAGUUCGAAAAACAUGAAAAUCGCAAGCAUUUAAAGUUUGGAGGUCUAGUAUGAAUUUACCGGUCGUCACGGUGGUACGUAAAUUGCUUCAAUUAAAAGGAGGAUUUUACAUACAUGUAUCUCAGUAAAUGCAUCUACUUAUGUGGUAUUCUGCAAAAUAUGAAUUUUAAUAUGUAAUCCUAGACAUUGCAGCUUUGUUCAUCAAAACCCUUCUCCAAAUUUGGGAGUCAUUCAAUUUAUAUAAGGAAAAUUAACAAAAGAAGUUUUUGAAAGAGGGGUUUUCCGCAAUAAAGUUUGCUUUUUGAAGAGCACGAACGAAAAAAGAAAAAGUAAAAAAUGUAUAAAACUUACCUGAACUUUAGUCCGUUUUUUAUUCAACUGCCCAACCUUUCAAACUUUUGAUUUUAGUACCCGGCCUUUCAAUUUGUUUAAUUUAAGUGAUUUGAUAGCUCUUGGGAUAUAAAAUUUAAACUAAUUGCUUACUUGAAUGAAUUUAUAGUUAAAUGAAUUGCACAAAAUAUGCUAACUAAAGCCAUAAAGAUAAACGGCAUAUUCGAAUUUUGAAAUUAAAAAGUAACUAAUUGGCUCAAAUCAAAUAAAUUAAAAGGUUGGAUAGUAAAAUCGAAUUUUUUAAAGAUUAGAUAGUCAGAUCAAAAUGGGUGAUAGUUGAGGUAAGUUUUUAUACAUUUUUACCCACCCCACUCCCCCAAACAAACAAUCAAAAAAAGGUACAGAGGCCCCUUCUACUGGAGGACAUUUUGAAAUAGAUUCUCUAGCUUUAAAUAAUCUGAUUGGCAUGCCUCAAAUUUUUUUUUUUUUUUUAUUGUGUCGAUUUGAGUUAUCAAUGUUAGUUGAUUUGGGAUUCCGUUUGAAUAGACACUUCUGCGAGUUAUCACUUAUCAGCUAUUAAUAAGCUCUGAAACCUAAUAGAAUCCCUGAUUCAAAUGAUAAAAAAACUUGAUCAAAACAAGUUUUUAGGAGAGAAUCAACCGAAAAAAAAAAAUUGAGGGGGUCUCCACACAGGGCCAGCAGGGGGGGCAUUUGUGUAAAUUGAGAAUUUCUCAAACAAACAAAGAAAGCAGCAAUCAACUGACCUGAUGAGUCGAGAUGAAGAAUAUAUCCGGAUCAUCGUAAAAUGCAUCGCACGUUCCGUUACCAUGAUGAACAUCAAAAUCGAUAAUGAGGACCCGCUUAAGUUUAUGCACAUAUUGUGCAUAACGAGCGGCAAUCGCGAUGUUUCCGAAGAUGCAGAAGCCCAUCGGACCUUGAGGGACGGCGUGGUGCCCUGGCGGCCUUAUUAAGGCAAAUCCUGUUGCUGGGUCACUGCUGAGCCUUGAUGCUGCAGCCUAGGAUAAAAAUACAACAUUUUCUUGGUAAAGAACCACUGCAAAGAAAAGUUUGUACUAAAUCAUAACAUAACAAAUUUGUCAAUUCCUUACUACCAUUAUUUACCAAAGAGGAAAAAAAAAAAAAAAAAAAGCAGGUUGGAGAUUUGAUAUGAGUUCACAAGUGCUGAAACUUGCUUGUUUGAAAAUUAUGAUUUAUUUAUAAAUAAAUAGGUGAAAACCUUCACAGACCUCACAUCAACUAUAGUGUGCUUUUAAAUCGGUACCUGAACUUUAAUAAUUAGAUUUUGCUACCUAAUGCCACAUAAUGUUUGAUUUUAGAAAUUUUCUUCUUUUUUUUUUUUUGUUUAGAAGUUAAAGAGUUUCUUCAGAAAAGUUGUAGACUAUCCCCUCCGGUAACAGAAUAUUCCGUUUUUAGACAUUGAAACACUGCUGCACUUUGAUAAUGAGGUAAUUAAAUCGGAAAGACUCAAAGUUUAGACAGUGAAAUCAAAACUUUUGUUGUUCCCGUAGCUGUUUCAAAUUGCGCUGUAAUUCAGGUAAGGUCAGUAUAUUUUUACCUCACAAGUAUAAUGAGUCUGAGUCAACAAAAAAGAAAAAAAAUCUUACUUACCACAGAAUCGACCAAGGAAAGUCCAGCGCCAGCUGCAGCAAGUGAUUCUUGAAAGGUCUGUGAAGUACGGCAAUACGUUAACAGUUAAAGGUGCAGAUUGAUAACAUACCUGAUUUAACACAUUUCAGUUUUUCUGAUUACACAUAUGUCGCCGUAUUAAGAAUUUAAACAAAUAUGAGGGAAGACAUCAGACAGCAUUCCUUCAUUAUGGAUUUGCAGAUUGCUACCCUGUCGUUGAAAGUGUAGCAUAUUGCUACUGUGUGGUUUUUCCUGUUUCCCAUAAAGGGGUGUUUGGUUCCUCGGAAAAGCGUGGAAGACUAUCUUUUGGGCACCGUUUUUCCACAUUUUUCGUUUUCCAUAUGAGAAAUUUGGAAAACGAAAACACUACUUUUCCAUGAAAUAUGGAAAAAGAAAAAUUUCAGGAAAACUACUUUUCCUAGGAACCAAACAGACAGAAAAUACUUUUCCAAGCAAAAAACUAUUUUUUGGGAUAUUUUCCGGAAAACCAGACACUCCUUGAGUAUCGGCCAUUCCAGUUCAGGUUGCCCUUGGCGAGUAACCAAUUAUUGUUUAGUAUCAGAAUGUGUGCUCUUAUACGCAAAGCAAACCUACUUGCUGUUACCAAAUGUAAUUUAGCAUAUUAUUACAGAACCCCAAAACAAUAAUAGUUAAAGAAAAAGAAGUGUACAAAUAUAAGUUGUAAGAUCUAGAAUAUACGGUUUCAGUAGCAUAUGUUGGCCCAGAUCCUUCGAUGAAAAUGAGGCCUUCAUCUGACGCCAUGGACAUAGCCUACGGGAAAAGAGAAAAAUGAAAACAUUUUCUCAAUUGUAGGAUUGAAAAACUACUAUGAAAUUUUAAUGAAAUAAGAUACCUUCUCAAGGCCCGUUACAUAAGCUCUUGAAUGAACACGAGCAAUGUCGUCGAUUGAAGCUGGCUGGAAACUUUGAACUUCAAGCACCUCUAAGCCACGAUACUGAAACACAGGAUGCCAUACUUAUAAAAUUAUUUUAAAAAAAUAUUAAACACACCACAAAUUUUAGCUAACAAGAGAUCUAACAUUCAUGAAGUCCACGCUGUCAUAUAGCAAAAAAAGUAAGAACCAACAUGGAAGGUAGAGAAUCAAUAGACUUCUUGACAAACAGAAGAUCAAUUAUUCCUUGAUUAUUUCGAUGUGCUGACGAUUACUAUAUUGAAGACUCUAGGAGUAAUGACAUAUUUCCCAAGGAGCGGUAUGCCAUAAAUUCAAACCAAAGACUAAGCGCCUAUUUGGCCUCCUUCGGGAAUAGCUUCUCUAGAAACUCAAGUGUUUGCUAUGGUAAGAAGUCAAAUGAGCUUUUGGAGACCAAAAGCAGAAGCUCCAAUUUGAAGCUUAUGACCGGCAGCAGCUGGGAAAAGGCAGUUAGUUCUUGCAAGCACCGGUUUGAGACAAUUUGUUUUACGCAGAAUAUUCACAGCAUAAAAGUUGAGAAACAGAAUAUUGUAUUAGCAUAUCUUGCAGUAAAGAAGAAAGGAAGAUAGAAUUGGCAAAAUGGUAAGUUCACCUUUGGGGUAAGCUCCAAUCUUUCAAGAGCAUCAACAAUUGCUGGCACCCUUUUAUUUGAUUCAGGGUGAGAGUCCUAGACAUUCAAAUCAAACCAGAAGUAUGAAAAAGGAAAAAGAAGAAUAUGCUAAUUUAGAAAGGAACAGAAGAACAUCUAAUAUCAUCAGCUUUAAAGAUACACACUUCUCUUAUCCAAACCUAGUAUUUAAACACUAUAAAGACCUUCUGUCGAUUCAAACUAUUAAAACUAUUUUUUGUGAUAGCAUACAACACGAUAUCAACAUGUAUUCUCAUACCAUCCGUUCACACUAGCAUGCAUAAACAAACAGUUAUAAUUUUCGUCUUUGUUUCUUAGAAAAAAAUCAUGAAUAGUUCACAAAGUUUUGGUUGGACAAAUAACUUUGAAUUAUUAAAAAGCAAAAAGAAAAUCAAUCUAAAAGUAAUUGAUAUUUCCAACUAUUCGAGAUAUUUUUGAUUUAAUUAUAGCCAAAAUGAAAUUUUUAUUGUGAAUUUAACUUUUCUACACUCUGGGAAUGAAAGAAGAUAUCAUAAAACUUACGAAAAUUUAUGCUAAUGGACUUUUACCAUUAUAUAUUGGUGUUUAUUCAGCUAAACCUUUUUCAAAUUUAUUCUAAACUUAUCAAAAUUUUUCUGAGGUAUGAAAUUUUCAGCUUUUACCAGAAGGCCAAACUUGUCAUUGUGACGGGAAAUACCUUAUUAUGGCCCAUGGCUGGAGCUACAGAAUAGAGGACUCGUGCAUCACGAAGUAAAACAUCCGAUGGAAUUGAAUAUGGCUUCUUUUCACCGUCAAUAAAAGCAACAUCAUCUUUUGCAGAGCAUCUUACACAUGACCUCAAACUUCUAUAGAAUCUUCUCGCAACACUUGCCAAAUUCUUUUCUGAAUGUAAUCGACAGCAGCCCUCCAAUAAAUAGCAAUGUCGUCUAAUCAGCGGAAACAUUUGCCCUAGAUGACAGGAAUUUCAUAACUUUCAGGAAAGAAAAGCUAACAAUUCAAAUUUAAAACUACAAAUUUUCAGCAGAAGAAGCUGUAGUGAUGCCAAAGGCCUAAAAUUGUUCUUGACUCGCAAAUUAUGCAGAAGCCAACAAAGUGCUUUUGCAAAAGUACAAUACUAUCAAUCAUGAGUUAAUAACGAGACCUCUACAUUGAACUAACAUGAGUUUUCUCGCAAACAAAUGGCAUGCAUGCACUUAGCACACAUUAACUACACUACAAUUGAGAAGCAAGAAAUUUUUUUUAAAAAAAAAUCGAAUUACUAUCACUUUACAUUCUCCAAAAAGAAACACUAGUGAUGCUAAUAAUCAAUCUCAAGCUAUCCAAGUGAGAACCAAGUGAUUCUGCAUGAGUAUAAUAGUAUCAUUUAUUAGUAAAAAUGAGAACUUUGCAGAAGAAAACAUUACUACAUUCUAAAAGAAAGAAACCCAACAAUUAAAGUUCAAAUACUUCAAAAUUUCACGAAAAGGAGCACUAUUAAUUCUAUGCAAAAUAUAACAAAGGGUUUCUGCAUAGGUAUAAAAUUGUCAAUCAUAAGGGCAUUUUCACAAACAUAUGGCAUGCAAGGUAGUUAGUAUAACUUUACUAAAAUCUAAAAGAGAGAAAAAAAGGAAAAAAAAAGAAGAAGAAAAGAACCCACAACUUGAAAUUUAAAGUUAUAUUAACUUUUCAUAAAAGAGAAACACAAGUCAUGCUAAAAAUCAUUCUCAACUAAUGCAGAGCAGAACAAAAAGCUUCUGCAUAAUAACAUUAUCUUCAGUCACAAGUCAAUAAUGAGACCACUAUGUUCAAGUAAUGGCCUGUCUGUUUGUCAGUAAGUAAUUUUCAGGUUGAAAAUGAUUUCUAGCAGAACUGAAGUUUAGGUAAAAAAAUAUAUAUAAAAAAAUUCCGCCGCUAUUUGUUCAAUAGGGACCCAAUGGCUUUGAAACUGUAAUUAUAUCACUUUUUAUUUAUUUUUACGCAAAUUCUCACACUAUCAUGUAAGAGGAUGAGAAAAGUUGCAACAUGUAAAUUUUUAUUUUUAUCUCUCUUUCCGAUAAUUGACUUCGGCACCACACAAGGGCCCGAAAACUACUUCACUUCCCUCCACC